UCUAAAAUCCGUAAUGCUUUCAAACCUAUUUCUAUUCUUAGAAAUAGGGAGGAAAUCAUUACGGAUCCGGCUAUUAUUGCGCUGCAUACAGUGGAAUAUUUCAAAAAUCUUUUUUCUACAAAUGAUUCUUUUUUGCAGGAUGGUUCUUUGGUGGAGGGAAUUAUUCCUAGUUCGGUGAAUUUUGAGACAGAUGAGAUGCUUACUCCUCUUCUCUCUUUGGAGGAAAUCAAAGUUGUUGUCUUCUCUCUUAAUAAUGAUAGUGUCCCUGGUCCGGACGGUUUCAGAGCUUCUUUCUAUCAAAUCUAUCGGAAUAUUAUCAAGCUUGAGGUUUCAGAGGUGGUCAUUCAUUUUUUUCUCUUCUGGGUGGUUACCUCAUGA